rnacentral:lncRNA from 1 species
CAGGGUUUUAGCUGAGGUGCUACCAGACUAUUGGGGAUGGCGGAUAGGGGUAAAGGUGUUAAAAAUUGUUUUCAAGAAAAUAACUCAAAAAGUUUAUAUCCCUGUCAAACCCUAAGAAAUUCUGUUUCUUAUGAAGUAAGCAAGCAAUGAUAGUUAGGGUAAAUUUCGUCAAAAGGUCACAGGCACAAAAAAUGAAAUUACAAGUGGGUUUCAGACUAUAAAUCUCAAAAACUUUACAUUUUAUCAAAAGAAACUUGAUGAUAUGGUUAAAAUGUCUAGUAUGUAAGAAUUGUUAUAAUUUAC